ensembl:snRNA U6 U6 spliceosomal RNA
AUGCUCUCUUCGGUAGCUCAUAUAAUAAAAAUGUAAUCAUGCAAAAAUUAGCAUGGCCUCUGUGCAAAGAUGACAUGCACAUAUGGAUUGCUGCAAGCUGCC